rnacentral:rRNA from 3 species
GGAAGGUGGGGAUGACGUCAAGUCAUCAUGGCCCUUACGACCAGGGCUACACACGUGCUACAAUGGCGCAUACAAAGAGAAGCGACCUCGCGAGAGCAAGCGGACCUCAUAAAGUGCGUCGUAGUCCGGAUUGGAGUCUGCAACUCGACUCCAUGAAGUCGGAAUCGCUAGUAAUCGUGGAUCAGAAUGCCACGGUGAAUACGUUCCCGGGCCUUGUACACACCGCCCGUCACACCAUGGGAGUGGGUUGCAAAAGAAGUAGGUAGCUUAACCUUCGGGAGGGCGCUUACCACUUUGUGAUUCAUGACUGGGGUGAAGUCGUAACAAGGUAACCGUAGGGGAACCUGC